CGAUUCAGUACGAAGCGGGUCAAAUUUGAACUGCAGCUACAUUAUAGUUUUCGCUUUAUUUUUUCCAAAAAUAGUUUUAGGUACAAAACUAUCUAUUUAAUGAGAUAAACACCAAAAAAUUUCCAAGAUUCAACCACUAGAUAGGAACGGUCAUACCCGCCGUUUUGACCGCAUUUUCAAACAUGCAUGAAAAAAUAUAAAAAAUAAAAAA
rnacentral:lncRNA from 1 species